AUUGAACGCUGGCGGCAGGCUUAACACAUGCAAGUCGAGCGGAGAUGAGGUGCUUGCACCUUAUCUUAGCGGCGGACGGGUGAGUAAUGCUUAGGAAUCUGCCUAUUAGUGGGGGACAACAUUCCGAAAGGAAUGCUAAUACCGCAUACGUCCUACGGGAGAAAGCAGGGGAUCUUCGGACCUUGCGCUAAUAGAUGAGCCUAAGUCGGAUUAGCUAGUUGGUGGGGUAAAGGCCUACCAAGGCGACGAUCUGUAGCGGGUCUGAGAGGAUGAUCCGCCACACUGGGGCUGAGACACGGCCCAGACUCCUACGGGGGGCAGCAGUGGGGAAGAUUGGACAAUGGGGGGAACCCUGAUCCAGCCAUGCCGCGUGUGUGAAGAAGGCCUUAUGGUUGUAAAGCACUUUAAGCGAGGAGGAGGCUACUGAGACAAAUACUCUUGGAUAGUGGACGUUACUCGCAGAAUAAGCACCGGCUAACUCUGUGCCAGCCGCCGCGGUAACAC
rnacentral:rRNA from 1 species